rnacentral:lncRNA from 10 species
UGGGUUCCCUACCCCAGUGUGGAAGCUUUGUUCUUUUGCUCUUUGCAAUAAAUCUUGCUGCUGCUCACUCUUUGGGUCUGCACUGCCUUUAUGAGCUGUAACACUCACAGCGAAGGUCUGCAUCUUCACUCCUGAGGCCAGUGAGACCACGAACUCACCUGGAGGAAUGAACAACUCCGGACGGGAGGAACAAACAACUCCAGACGCGCCACCUGAAGAGCUGUAACACUCACCACGAAGGUCUGCAGCUUCACUCCUGAAGCCAGCGAGACCAUGAACCCACCAGAAGGAAGAAACUCCAAACACAUCCGAACAUCAGAAGGAACAAACUCCGGACACACCAUCUUUAAGAACUGUAACACUCACCACAAGGGUCCACAGCUUCAUUCUUGAAGUCAAUGAGACCAAGAACCCACCAAUUCCAGAUACAAGGGGAAGGGAAUCCAGAAACCUGACGUGCCAGCAAAAGGGUAAAAGUUUCUUUUACCAGUUGGACUUUUGGCCUCUCCCUCCGUGUGCAAACCGGUAAAAGGAAUGUGCGACAACUGAAACUUAGGAUUGCAACCAGAGGGGCUCCUCUUACCUCUGCAUCAAAGCGCGGAUCCUGGUAGGCAUCACUGAUGUUCACUGGAAGGCCUGUUGAAGCAACCAGCUCAGCAAUGCUGUUAUUUAUUAGCCAGUCGGAGUAUGAUGAUUUCUCCAUGCUUUCUUUGAAACUAUCAGAGCACCAAGGUAGGCAGGAAGAAAAGAGAGAAACUAUAUAUUGAGCACUGCCAGGAGCCGUGGAGAUACAAAAUUGAGAACUGUUCAAAUUAGUAUUGGCAAGGAAAAUUUUCCUGGAGGAUGUCUGAUUUGUCGCUUGGCAAGUGAUAACUGAAAUUAUGUGGAUGGAUGCAAGCAUACUAGGGCAAGGUUUUCAAGCUGCCUUAUGUGGAACCCUGGAUUUCAUGAGAUGUUAAAUGAGUAUACUACAGCAAGAAUAAUCAUCACUCUAUUGACUUUUUAAUCUAAACUGCACUAUAUGUAAGAAAACACUAAAUGUGCACAUCGUCUUUGUUAUUAUGCAAUAAUGUCCCUGUGUAAAAUUAUGCCAUGUUGAGAAGGCAGGAAACUGCAUGGAAAGGCCAUUGGAUGCAUGAGUGAGUGGGACACAUAGACAUUAUUUAACAUCAUUAAUAUAUCUCAUCUGUAAUGAUUGCUGGCCUGUGUCUGAUAAAUUCAGCAUGUAUUUGUAAUGUUAUUCAUCCCUUAUUGCAUAUUAAACAUUAAUAAUACAUAAACUUUAUUCUCUAUGGCUCUCUGGCUGAAAAAUGGAAGUUUUAAUAAAAAGCUGAGUCUUGUAGUUCUUAGAUGGCACCUAAAUCAAAGAAGUAAAA